UACGUAGGGGGCCAGCGUUGUUCGGAAUUACUGGGCGUAAAGAGCGCGUAGGCGGUGCGAUUAGUCAGGUGUUAAAUCUCCCGGCUUAACUGGGAGGGGUCGCCUGAAACGGUCGUGCUUGAGUGUGGGAGAGGAGAGUGGAAUUCCCGGUGUAGCGGUGAAAUGCGUAGAUAUCGGGGGGAACACCUGUGGCGAAGGCGGCUCUCUGGACCACUACUGACGCUGAGGCGCGAAAGCUAGGGGAG
rnacentral:rRNA from 1 species